rnacentral:rRNA from 1 species
AUUGAACGCUGGCGGCAGGCUUAACACAUGCAGGUCGAGCGGGGGAAGGUAGCUUGCUACCGGACCCAGCGGCGGACGGGUGAGUAAUGCUUAGGAAUCUGCCUAUUAGUGGGGGACAACAUCUCGAAAGGGAUGCUAAUACCGCAUACGUCCUACGGGAGAAAGCAGGGGAUCUUCGGACCUUGCGCUAAUAGAUGAGCCUAAGUCGGAUUAGCUAGUUGGUGGGGUAAAGGCCUACCAAGGCGACGAUCUGUAGCGGGUCUGAGAGGAUGAUCCGCCACACUGGGACUGAGACACGGCCCAGACUCCUACGGGAGGCAGCAGUGGGGAAUAUUGGAAAAUGGGGGGAACCCUGAUUCAGCCAUGCCGCGUGUGUGAAGAAGGCCUUAUGGUUGUAAAGCACUUUAAGCGAGGAGGAGGCUACUCUAGUUAAUACCUAGGGAUAGUGGACGUUACUCGCAGAAUAAGCACCGGCUAACUCUGUGCCAGCCGCCGCGGUAA